AUUGAACGCUGGCGGCAUGCCUUACACAUGCAAGUCGAACGGCAGCACGGGAGCAAUCCUGGUGGCGAGUGGCGAACGGGUGAGUAAUAUAUCGGAACGUGCCCAGUCGUGGGGGAUGACGCAGCGAAAGCUGUGCUAAUACCGCAUACGAUCUCUGGACGAAAGCGGGGGACUCGCAAGAGCCUCGCGCGAUUGGAGCGGCCGAUAUCAGAUUAGCUAGUUGGUGGGGUAAAAGCCCACCAAGGCGACGAUCUGUAGCUGGUCUGAGAGGACGACCAGCCACACUGGAACUGAGACACGGUCCAGACUCCUACGGGAGGCAGCAGUGGGGAAUUUUGGACAAUGGGCGAAAGCCUGAUCCAGCAAUGCCGCGUGCAGGAUGAAGGCCUUAGGGUUGUAAACUGCUUUUGUACGGAACGAAACGGUCUCUCUUAAUACGGGGGGCUAAUGACGGUACCGUAAGAAUAAGCACCGGCUAACUACGUG
rnacentral:rRNA from 1 species